rnacentral:rRNA from 1 species
GAGCACGUAGGUGGGUUUGUAAGUCGGUUGUGAAAGCCUUCUGCUUAACGGAAGAACAGCAUCCGAUACUGCAUGGCUCGAGUGCGGGAGGGGAGAGUGGAACUUCUGGUGGAGCGGUGAAAUGCGUAGAUAUCAGAAGGAACGCCGGCGGCGAAAGCGACUCUCUGGCCCGUAACUGACGCUGAGUGUGCGAAAGCUAGGGGAGCAAACGGGAUUAGAUACCCCGGUAGUCCUAGCCGUAAACGAUGGGCACUAAGUAGAGGGGUUUU